UGGAACCUGGAGUAGUGAGCGAGCCCAGGUUCUCCUAGCAGCCCCCGAUGGAAUGGCACUGCCUGGAUAGCGGGUCCAAUGCGGUUAGGAGUCUCAGAAGGGGAACGCACAUAGUGACCGGGGUGGAGGGCCAAGUCAUGAAAAGGAAGCUACAGCUGCUGGAGCGGGAGAAGGGCCACAAAAUGAGAGGACAGCAUAUUGAGAGACUACAAGUGGAGGUGUUGGACCUGGAAGAGAGCUAUUCCCCAGAGCAGUCGGGGGAGGCACCCGAGCGUGCAGGAGAUUUCUGACCUGGUCACUGGUCCACCAACCACGCAAAAAUAAAGAAGUCACUGGGAUUGAGACUGGGAAACGCCACUCGGGAAGAAUUCCAGACUGGAGGCCCGAUGUCUUCAGGACGUGUAUUACAUCAUUGAACCAGAGACAGCGUGAGCCUAACAAUUGCAAUCAUUGUCAAGUUUUCUUUCUGACAUGAA